rnacentral:rRNA from 1 species
GGAAUUUUGCGCAAUGGGCGAAAGCCUGACGCAGCAACGCCGCGUGGGGGAUGAAGGCCUUCGGGUUGUAACCCCCUUUUGCGAGGGAAGAAGAUCUGACGGUACCUCGCGAAUAAGCCACGGCUAACUACGUGCAAGCAGCCGCUGUAAUACGUAGGUGGCAAGCGUUGUCCGGAUUUACUGAGCGUAAAGCGCUCGAAGGCGGACGGGUUAGUCCGGGGUGAAAUCUCACGGCUCAACCGGGAGCGGUCCCCGGAUACUGCCGGUCUUGAGGUGUCUAGAGGAGAGCGGAAUUCCCGGUGUAGUGGUGGAAUGCGUAGAUAUCGGGAAGAACACCAGUGGCGAAAGCGGCUCUCUGGGGACCACCUGACGCUGAGGCGCGAAAGCGUGGGGAGCGAAC